AAAGUCGUAACAAGGUUUCCGUAGGUGAACCUGCGGAAGGAUCAUUAUUGAAUGAACUUGGUGUGGUUGUUGCUGGCCUUCUUUGGGGGCAUGUGCACACCCACCAUCCUCAUCUCUCCACCUGUGCACAUCUUGUAGAUUUGGAUUGACUUUCCGAGGCAACUCGGUCGGGAGGACUGCUGGCGCUAGCUAGCUUUCCUUGCAUUUCCAAGUCUAUGUUUUUCAUAUACCCCAUUGUAUGUAACAGAAUGUAACACUAGGCCUUUGUGCCUAUAAAACUUAUACAACUUUCAGCAACGGAUCUCUUGGCUCUC
rnacentral:misc_RNA from 1 species